CGGUGGGAAACGUUUUUUUAAAAAACAUCUUUAUGUUGUUAUUAUUUAUCUCCCCUGCGGUACGGGGAUGCUGGCCGUGACCCGUUCUCAGUGCUCUCCUCACCGCUGGCCUCAGCCACCGUACACGUGCGCUUUCUGAAAAUCCUGAUUUAAGCCAAAUGUUUUGACUUUCCGUACAACUGCACAUAAUUUGGAGGCUGUCGAAUGGUUGUAAGAUCCGAAGUGUGCCUGGCUGCAAAUUAGUCGGACUGUCUCUUCUGGAAGUCAAAUCGUUAAACAGCCGUCAUGUUACGAUAGGAACAAAUAUUCUCAAGAGCGGUUGCACCAGAUAAUGUAAAGCAGACUUUUCCACAUAUUAGGGCACUGAAGACAUUACAGUUCAAACCAUGAAUACACUGGUAAAGGUAAUGCUGCCCAUUGUCCUGUUUUGAUGUAGCAUUGAUGGAGAGAUACCUGCUCAGUGUUAUCCCUGCUAUCACCACGACACUUUCAUGCUGGCAGCAGGCAGCUGAUCACCUGUGCACUGACUUUGGCCAGCAGUCCGUGUUUUUCUUUGGAUUGACAGAGAGUAAUCGUUGUUUUCAUCCUGUCUGAACCUAUCCUUAGCUAUGCUCAGUAUAGCUAGACAUGGACACGGAUCUUCAGCAUGUUCAUCCGCGUAUCAUCACAAAUGUUAAGAAAAAUCUUUAUCAGCAUGUAUGUAUUUAGGUCUUUGACCAUGCAGCACAUUGCAAGCUGUUUAAUAUGGGCACAGGAAG